GACGAACGCUGGCGGCGUGCUUAACACAUGCAAGUCGAACGGAAAGGCCCUGCUUUUGUGGGGUGCUCGAGUGGCGAACGGGUGAGUAACACGUGAGUAACCUGUCCUUGACUUUGGGAUAACUUCAGGAAACUGGGGCUAAUACCGGAUAGGAGCUCUUGCUGCAUGGUGGGGGUUGGAAAGUUUCGGCGGUUGGGGAUGGACUCGCGGCUUAUCAGCUUGUUGGUGGGGUAGUGGCUUACCAAGGCUUUGACGGGUAGCCGGCCUGGGAGGGUGACCGGCCACAUUGGGACUGAGAGACGGCCCAGACUCCUACGGGAGGCAGCAGUGGGGAAUAUUGCACAAUGGGCGGAAGCCUGAUGCAGCAACGCCGCGUGCGGGAUGACGUCCUUCGGGUUGUAAACCGCUUUCGCCUGUGACGAAGCGAGAGUGACGGUAAUGGGUAAAGAAGCACCGGCUAACUACGUG
rnacentral:rRNA from 1 species